rnacentral:rRNA from 1 species
GGGUUGUGAGGUUAAGCGACUAAGCGUACACGGUGGAUGCCCUGGCAGUCAGAGGCGAUGAAGGACGUGCUAAUCUGCGAUAAGCGUCGGUAAGGUGAUAUGAACCGUUAUAACCGGCGAUUUCCGAAUGGGGAAACCCAGUGUGAUUCGUCACACUAUCGUUAAGUGAAUACAUAGCUUAACGAAGCGAACCGGGGGAAACUGAAACAUCUAAGUACCCCGAGGAAAAGAAAUCAACCGAGAUUCCCCCAGUAGCGGCGAGCGAACGGGGAGGAGCCCAGAGUCUGAAUCAGCGCGUGUGUUAGUGGAACGGUCUGGAAAGUCCGGCGGUACAGGGUGAUAGCCCCGUACACUAAAAUGCACACGUUGUGAACUCGAAGAGUAGGGCGGGACACGUGGUAUCCUGUCUGAAUAUGGGGGGACCAUCCUCCAAGGCUAAAUACUCCUGACUGACCGAUAGUGAACCAGUACCGUGAGGGAAAGGCGAAAAGAACCCCGGCGAGGGGAGUGAAAAAGAACCUGAAACCGUGUACGUACAAGCAGUGGGAGCCUCUUUUAUGGGGUGACUGCGUACCUUUUGUAUAAUGGGUCAGCGACUUAUAUUCUGUAGCAAGGUUAACCGUAUAGGGGAGCCGCAGGGAAACCGAGUCUUAACUGGGCGUUAAGUUGCAGGGUAUAGACCCGAAACCCGGUGAUCUAGCCAUGGGCAGGUUGAAGGUUGGGUAACACUAACUGGAGGACCGAACCGACUAAUGUUGAAAAAUUAGCGGAUGACUUGUGGCUGGGGGUGAAAGGCCAAUCAAACCGGGAGAUAGCUGGUUCUCCCCGAAAGCUAUUUAGGUAGCGCCUCGUGAACUCAUCUUCGGGGGUAGAGCACUGUUUCGGCUAGGGGGUCAUCCCGACUUACCAACCCGAUGCAAACUACGAAUACCGAAGAAUGUUAUCACGGGAGACACACGGCGGGUGCUAACGUCCGUCGUGAAGAGGGAAACAACCCAGACCGCCAGCUAAGGUCCCAAAGUCAUGGUUAAGUGGGAAACGAUGUGGGAAGGCACAGACAGCCAGGAUGUUGGCUUAGAAGCAGCCAUCAUUUAAAGAAAGCGUAAUAGCUCACUGGUCGAGUCGGCCUGCGCGGAAGAUGUAACGGGGCUAAACCAUGCACCGAAGCUGCGGCAGCGACACUAUGUGUUGUUGGGUAGGGGAGCGUUCUGUAAGCCGUUGAAGGUGGCCUGUGAGGGUUGCUGGAGGUAUCAGAAGUGCGAAUGCUGACAUAAGUAACGAUAAAGCGGGUGAAAAGCCCGCUCGCCGGAAGACCAAGGGUUCCUGUCCAACGUUAAUCGGGGCAGGGUGAGUCGACCCCUAAGGCGAGGCCGAAAGGCGUAGUCGAUGGGAAACAGGUUAAUAUUCCUGUACUCGGUGUUACUGCGAAGGGGGGACGGAGAAGGCUAUGUUAGCCGGGCGACGGUUGUCCCGGUUUAAGCAUGUAGGCGGAAGGUUUAGGUAAAUCCGGACCUUUUUUAACGCUGAGGUGUGAUGACGAGGCACUACGGUGCUGAAGUAACAAAUGCCCUGCUUCCAGGAAAAGCCUCUAAGCAUCAGGUAACAACGAAUCGUACCCCAAACCGACACAGGUGGUCAGGUAGAGAAUACCAAGGCGCUUGAGAGAACUCGGGUGAAGGAACUAGGCAAAAUGGUGCCGUAACUUCGGGAGAAGGCACGCUGAUGGUAGGUGAAGUGACUUGCUCAUGGAGCUGAAAUCAGUCGAAGAUACCAGCUGGCUGCAACUGUUUAUUAAAAACACAGCACUGUGCAAACACGAAAGUGGACGUAUACGGUGUGACGCCUGCCCGGUGCCGGAAGGUUAAUUGAUGGGGUUAUCCGUAAGGAGAAGCUCUUGAUCGAAGCCCCGGUAAACGGCGGCCGUAACUAUAACGGUCCUAAGGUAGCGAAAUUCCUUGUCGGGUAAGUUCCGACCUGCACGAAUGGCGUAAUGAUGGCCAGGCUGUCUCCACCCGAGACUCAGUGAAAUUGAACUCGCUGUGAAGAUGCAGUGUACCCGCGGCAAGACGGAAAGACCCCGUGAACCUUUACUAUAGCUUGACACUGAACAUUGAGCCUUGAUGUGUAGGAUAGGUGGGAGGCUUUGAAGCGUGGACGCCAGUCUGCGUGGAGCCAACCUUGAAAUACCACCCUUUAAUGUUUGAUGUUCUAACGUAGACCCGUGAUCCGGGUUGCGGACAGUGUCUGGUGGGUAGUUUGACUGGGGCGGUCUCCUCCCAAAGAGUAACGGAGGAGCACGAAGGUUAGCUAAUCCUGGUCGGACAUCAGGAGGUUAGUGCAAUGGCAUAAGCUAGCUUGACUGCGAGCGUGACGGCGCGAGCAGGUGCGAAAGCAGGUCAUAGUGAUCCGGUGGUUCUGAAUGGAAGGGCCAUCGCUCAACGGAUAAAAGGUACUCCGGGGAUAACAGGCUGAUACCGCCCAAGAGUUCAUAUCGACGGCGGUGUUUGGCACCUCGAUGUCGGCUCAUCACAUCCUGGGGCUGAAGUAGGUCCCAAGGGUAUGGCUGUUCGCCAUUUAAAGUGGUACGCGAGCUGGGUUUAGAACGUCGUGAGACAGUUCGGUCCCUAUCUGCCGUGGGCGCUGGAGAAUUGAGGGGGGCUGCUCCUAGUACGAGAGGACCGGAGUGGACGCAUCACUGGUGUUCGGGUUGUCAUGCCAAUGGCAUUGCCCGGUAGCUAAAUGCGGAAAAGAUAAGUGCUGAAAGCAUCUAAGCACGAAACUUGCCCCGAGAUGAGUUCUCCCUGACUCCUUGAGAGUCCUGAAGGAACGUUGAAGACGACGACGUUGAUAGGUCGGGUGUGUAAGCGUAGCGAUACGUUGAGCUAACCGAUACUAAUGAACCGUGAGGCUUAACCUUACAACGCCGAAGCUGUU